rnacentral:rRNA from 1 species
UACGUAGGGGGCGAGCGUUGUCCGGAUUUAUUGGGCGUAAAGAGCUCGUAGGCGGCUUGGCAAGUCGGGUGUGAAACCUCCAGGCUCAACCUGGAGACGCCACUCGAUACUGCUAUGGCUAGAGUCCGGUAGGGGACCACGGAAUUCCUGGUGUAGCGGUGAAAUGCGCAGAUAUCAGGAGGAACACCGGUGGCGAAGGCGGUGGCCUGGGCCGGCACUGACGCUGAGGAGCGAAAGCGUGGGUAGCAAACAGG